UGUGGGAGCUGGCUUGCCUGCGAUGCAGACGGCGCGGUGUAUCUGACGUACGGCGGUGAUGCAAUCGCAGGCAAGCCAGCUCCCACA
rnacentral:misc_RNA from 1 species